GAUGAACGCUGGCGGCGUGCUUAACACAUGCAAGUCGAACGAGGAUUUAACGGAAUGCGAUUCGUCAAAUGAAAUUAAAUCCGAGUGGCGGACGGGUGAGUAACGCGUGGAUAACCUGCCUCACACAGGGGGACAACAGCCGGAAACGGCUGCUAAUACCGCAUAACACAAGUAAUUCGCAUGAAUAACUUGCCAAAGAUUUUAUCGGUGUGAGAUGGAUCCGCGUCUGAUUAGCCAGUUGGCGGGGUAACGGCCCACCAAAGCGACGAUCAGUAGCCGACCUGAGAGGGUGACCGGCCACAUUGGGACUGAGACACGGCCCAAACUCCUACGGGAGGCAGCAGUGGGGAAUAUUGCACAAUGGGCGAAAGCCUGAUGCAGCGACGCCGCGUGAAGGAUGAAGUAUUUCGGUAUGUAAACUUCUAUCAGCAGGGAAGAAAAUGACGGUACCUGACUAAGAAGCCCCGGCUAACUACGUGCCAGCAGCCGCGGUAAUACGUAGGGGGCAAGCGUUAUCCGGAUUUACUGGGUGUAAAGGGAGCGUAGAUGGCAUGGCAAGUCUGAAGUGAAAGCCCGGGGCUUAACCCCGGGACUGCUUUGGAAACUGUUAAGCUAGAGUGCAGGAGAGGUAAGCGGAAUUCCUAGUGUAGCGGUGAAAUGCGUAGAUAUUAGGAGGAACACCGGUGGCGAAGGCGGCUUACUGGACUGUAACUGACAUUGAGGCUCGAAAGCGUGAGGAGCAAACAGGAUUAGAUACCCUGGUAGUCCACGCCGUAACGAUGAAUACUAGGUGUUNGGGGAGUAUAAGCUCUUCNGUGCCNGCGCAACGCAUUANGUAUCCCACUGGGGAGUACGUCGCNAGAUGNAAACUCAANGGAAUGACGGGGACCCGCACAAGCGGUGGAGCAUGUGGUUUAUUCGACGCAACGCGAAGAACCUUACCAAGUCUUGACAUCCCGGUGACCGGUCAGUAACGUGACCUUCUCUUCGGAACACCGGUGACAGGUGGUGCAUGGUUGUCGUCAGCUCGUGUCGUGAGAUGUUGGGUUAAGUCCCGCAACGAGCGCAACCCCUGUCCUUAGUAGCCAGCAGUAAGAUGGGCACUCUAGGGAGACCGCCGGGGAUAACCCGGAGGAAGGUGGGGAUGACGUCAAAUCAUCAUGCCCCUUAUGAUUUGGGCUACACACGUGCUACAAUGGCGUAAACAAAGAGAGGCAAGACCGCGAGGUUAAGCAAAGCUCAAAAAUAACGUCUCAGUUCGGAUUGUAGCCUGCGACUCGACUACUUGAAAGCUGGAAAUCGCUAGUAAUCGCGGAUCGGAAAUGCUGCGGUGAAAUACGUUCCCGGGUCU
rnacentral:rRNA from 1 species